CGGCGCUGCGGGGCCGCGCCGGGACGGAGCGGAGCGGGCUGGGGUGGGUGUGCGGGGCGGAGCGGAGCUGUGUGCGGAGCGGGGUGGGUGUGCGGGGCGGAGCGGAGCUGUGUGCGGAGCGGGGUGGGUGUGCGGGGCGGAGCGGAGCUGUGUGCGGAGUGGGUGUGCGGAGAGGAGCGGAGAUGUGUGCGGAGUGGGUGUGCGGGGCGGAGCGGAGAUGUGCGUGGAGCGGGAUAGGAUGCGGCCCGACAGCUUUUUCGGGGGAAAAAUCCCACGGCGGGCGCUCGCGCAAGAACAGCAAUGAGAAUACAAUUCUUUGGAAGGUCCAAUUUUGGUAGAGCGCAAUGAAGGCACCAGCGCGUGUUUACAAAGUGUUAGAAGUCCUGGCUCCGUUUGCUGCUCAUCUCUUUCCACAGCGCUGGAAUUUCCUGGGAAGACCCUCUGUUCCUUGGCUUCUGAGCCCUAGUGUCCUCCCAGAGGAAGGAAUAUUUUGCUUUCAGAGGAGAAGAGCCAUCACAGCAGGCUCCACAUCCCCUGAUGCUUCUCCGGAUGAAGGAAUUUGCUUGAGAGCCACAUCUGUCCCUUGCCAUGGGCUAGCCAAGAUGCUGUCUCCUGAGGGCCAGCACCAUUUCAAGAGAGAACCCCGCUCCUAAUUCAGAAAAGGAGAGAUGCCAGCCCAUCCUUUAUUCAGAAGCCCACAGACUUCCUUGGCCCCUGGAAAGGUGAAAGGUGAAAGAUUACUUCAAUGCAGAGGAAAAAUCCUUUCUGUGUCCAGACUGGCAACUAAAGAAGAGUACCUAGAAAUCAAAUCUGGAUUUGAUCCAACCUCACAUGUAGUUUCUAGAGACCUGAAAUGUUACCAUUUGAUGACUACUGUGAAUCCUGCCCAGCUCAGAGGGACUGCAGCUGCUCCAUGGCAAGGCACAGGUGAUGGGCAGGGGAGGAUGUGUCCCUGCCUCACCACGAGGCACAAGACAGUAGCCUGGCUGUCAGCAUCACCACCUGCAGCUGCCACACAGCUGUGUCUCAGCCCCAGGUGGGCUGGAGCAAGGGUGCACCCCCUCCUCCCAGCCAGCAUCCCUCUCCACUGGGUGGGCACAGGGAGCUCACUUCACUUUCUGCCAUAACAGAGGCAGGAGGCUGGAGCAAGUCCCCGCUUUGGGAAGGGGCCACAGGUCAGGUCCUACAGCUGCUGUAAAUAGUUGCAGCACUAUUUAAUUCAAUGCAGCCUUUAUUUACAUCAGCUGAUCUGGCCCCACUUCUCCUGUUUUCCUGCGCUUGUUUCCUUUAAGAUAUA
rnacentral:lncRNA from 1 species